rnacentral:rRNA from 1 species
AGGGUGUAAACGCUGCAGACUUGGUGUUGGGAACCCUUCGGGGGUGCUCAGUGCCGGAGAGAAGUUGUUAAGUCUGCUACUUGGGGAGUACGUCCGCAAGGAUGAAACUUAAAGGAAUUGGCGGGGGAGCACCGCAGCGGGAGGAGCGUGCGGUUUAAUUGGAUUCAACGCCGAAAAACUCACCAGCAGCGACUGUUACAUGAAAGUCAGGUUGAUGACCUUACUAGAUUUUCAGAGAGGUGGUGCAUGGCGUCAGUGACU